CAAAAACAUCGCCUCUUGAAUUACUAUAAGAGGUCCAGCCUGCCCAGUGACUCUGUUCAACGGCCGCGGUAUCCUAACCGUGCGAAGGUAGCGUAAUCACUUGUUCUUUAAAUGCGGACUAGUAUGAAUGGCACCACGAGGGUUAUACGUCUCCUUUUUCUAAUCAGUGAAACUAAUCUUCCCGUGAAGAAGCGGGAAUAAAUCUAUAAGACGAGAAGACCCUAUGGAGCUUAAAACAAUUUAGCAUUCACCAAGAAAUAUAAACUUUUCAGAAUUAUAAAACCUCCUAGCACAAUGACUAUAAGUUUUUGGUUGGGGUGACCGCGGAGCAUAAUUCAACCUCCAUGCUGAAGGAAUAAUAUUCUAAACUAAGAGUCACCGCUCUAAGUAUCAAUAUAUUGACAUUAAUUGACCCAAUAUACUUGAACAACGAACCAAGUUACCCUAGGGAUAACAGCGCAAUCCACUUCAAGAGCUCCUAUCGACAAGUGGGUUUACGACCUCGAUGUUGGAUCAGGGUAUCCCAGUGGUGCAGCCGCUACUAAAGGUUCGUUUGUUCAACGAUUAAAACCCUACGUGAUCUGAGU
rnacentral:rRNA from 1 species